rnacentral:RNase_P_RNA from 1 species
UGAGUGAGUCGGACAACCGCGCGAAGCAAUUCUCGAGGAAAGUCCGGGCACCAUAGAGCAGAAUGCCAGCUAACGGCUGGGCGGUGGAAGCCGACGGAAAGUGCAGCAGAGAGUAAACCGCCGAUGACGCGUCCGCGCGAACAGGUAAGGGUGAAAGGGUGCGGUAAGAGCGCACCGCGCAACUGGUAACAGUUUGUGGCAUGGUAAACCCCAUUCGGUGCAAGACCAAAUAGGAAAACGUGUGAGGCUUGUCCUCCGCCUUGUGGCUCGCAGGGGUUUUCGGGUAGGUUGCUUGAGGUGUGUAGCAAUGCUCACCCUAGAUGAAUGGUUGUCGCUCGUAAGAGUACAGAACCCGGCUUAUAGACUCACUCUAUUU